rnacentral:rRNA from 1 species
GACGAACGCUGGCGGCGUGCUUAACACAUGCAAGUCGAACGGAAAGGCCCUGCUUUUGUGGGGUGCUCGAGUGGCGAACGGGUGAGUAACACGUGAGUAACCUGGCCUUGACUUUGGGAUAACUUCAGGAAACUGGGGCUAAUACCGGAUAGGAGCUCCUGCUGCAUGGUGGGGGUGGGAAAGUUUCGGCGGUUGGGGAUGGACUCGCGGCUUAUCAGCUUGUUGGUGGGGUAGUGGCUUACCAAGGCUUUGACGGGUAGCCGGCCUGAGAGGGUGACCGGACACAUUGGGACUGAGAUACGGCCCAGCCUCCUACGGGAGGCAGCAGUGGGGAAUAUUGUACAAUGGGCGGAAGCCUGAUGCAGCAACGCCGCGUGCGGGAUGACGGCCUUCGGGUUGUAAACCGCUUUCGCCUGUGACGAAGCGUGAGUGACGGUAAUGGGUGAAGAAGCACCGGCUAACUACGUG